CCGGAGCCCGAGCCCGUGCCGGUGCCCGUGCCGGUGCUGGUGCUGUGCUCGCCGUCCGGCUUCAGGUUGCUCAUGGGAACCAAAGGUCACUGAGAAUGCCUCUCUGGCCUGCCUCCCUGCCUGUUGCUGGCCUCCCAGAAGCUAGGAGAGGAUGGACGCUUGAGACAGAUGAACUCUGCAGGAUUGCCUGCAUGCCCAGGAAGCUGACCCCACUAGGCAGUGUCUGAGAAAGACCAAGGAGCUGAAAAGAUAGAGACAGCCAGCGAGAGAGGGAACACAAG